UAAUGGCAGGUCAGCAUACUGCCGUGAAUACGUUCCCGGGCCUUGUACACACCGCCCGUCACACCAUGAGAGUUGGGGAUACCCGAAGCCUGUGAGCCAACAGUUAAAUGGGGCAGCAGUCGAAGGUAGAAUCAAUGAUUGGGGUGAAGUCGUAACAAGGUACC
rnacentral:rRNA from 1 species